rnacentral:rRNA from 1 species
AUGCAGAUUGCUGGACUCAACACCCUCGGCAUCUCAAUUGCGCGCAUCGACUAUGCUCCCUUAGGUCAGAACCCACCACAUAUGCACCCUCGCGCCACUGAGAUCCUCAUGGUGCUCGAGGGGACACUAUAUGUUGGCUUUGUCACAUCCAACCAGCCCGCCCCCAACAGAAACAAGUUCCUUUCCAAGAUGCUCAACAAAGGUGAUGUGUUUGUCUUCCCCGUGGGGCUCAUCCACUUCCAAUUCAACCCCAACCCCCACCAGCCCGCUGUUGCAAUUGCCGCGCUUAGCAGCCAGAACCCAGGGGCUAUCACAAUUGCCAAUGCAGUGUUUGGGUCGGACCCACCAAUAUCAGAUGAUGUUCUUGCCAAGGCAUUUCAGGUGGAAAAGAAUACAAUAGACUAUCUCCAGGCUCAAUUUUGGGAGAACAACCACAACUAA